rnacentral:lncRNA from 1 species
CUGGGGUCCUAACAUACAGUGGAAUAGACAGCAACUGCAGAAGCCAAAGAAAAGCAAAAUUAAAACUUCGCCUGCAGCCACUGGGACUAUGGAUGUCACGAACAACUGAUGGUCCAUCUCAGGAUCUCUAGAACAUCGGAGGAUUUGGCUCUCUACCGCCAAAGCAGGAGAUCAACAGAUCUGGGCUGAUAGCAAAGCCUUUUCUGGGUCCCUUGGUGGAACACAGGAAUCAGAUUACUGUGCUGAGAAUGGAAUCCAGUGCAAUAGUUCUUCAUUCAGCAGCUAGUAAACAGAAAGCUUUAUAGUGUGGGGUUCUCUCAGUAGAAAUAGCUACAAAGAAAGGAUGUCGUUCUCUUCUAGUCUCAAGAUGGAAAACCUGGCCUCCAACCUUUCUUCAACCUUUCGCUUACAAGUCCUUCCAUG